ensembl:lncRNA
GGGAAGUGCUGGGAAAACCCCAUGAGUGGAGAAGCAGGUAUAUACUCCCAGGACCAGAAGGGAAGCGCACGUUUCAUCUGAGCUGGCACAGAGCUGGACAAAGCUGCUUCACUGCUGCAACACUGGGGCUGCCCACUGUUUGGUCCUGCUACCUCCCAUUGCACCCAUUGCUUAAUGAGAGAACUGCAUGAUGAGCUGCUACCAGCACCUUCAAAGCACGUCCUCAUGGAUUUAAUCAAUCCCUAAGAUGACAACAAGAUAAUCAGUUUGGCCAUCCAAAAUGGAAAGGGGAAGAAAAGAAAGGUUUGACACGCAGUGGCAGACAUGUAAAAAUGACUACAUGCCUUCCCGAGACAAAGGCACCUCACCACUGCAGCUCUGGCAUCCCCCAGUGCUAUUGGAACGGUGCUGGCAGCACUAGCUCUGACCCGGACAUCCGGGGACACUUUGGAAUGGAGUCUCCUUCCUCUGCCCCGUGCCAGAGGAUGUGUCCCAUUGCAGCCAGAGCCUGCCCAGAGCGUGGCACCGCGCUGCUCAGCCAGCAAGGUGCAGCUCAGGAAGCCUGGGAAUCAGCAGCUUGCAUCAAUGCUUGCAUCUCCUGGUGGCCUGCAGACAGAGAAUGGCUCCAAGCAGGAAGGUCGUGAACAGAAAAGCAUCUUUGAAGGCAAAGAAGGCUUCACCCCUCUACAAAUCAAGGAGCUCGGAGCGAGAGUGGUUGAAGGGACAGAGAAGAGAGAAUGUGACCAGAGAAGACGUUAUGAUUUGAAACGAGCAAUCAGUUUCGUGAUGCUGUCUCACUGAUUAACGCGCACAAACGAGCUCUGCCCCAGGAUCAGAAAUGCCCUGUUCCAUUCAAUCUCAGUUCUUUGCAGGCACUGUUCUCAGAAAGGUGUAUGAUUGUUAAAUCAGAGUCCUGCAGAUGCCUGCAACAGCAGCUUUCUGUUGUUGUUGUUAAACUUUCUGCAGUAAAUGAUCCAUAGUGGCAAGGCUGACAACAAAGCAGUCGGUCUGCAGUGCUCGUUGGAGUUCUGAUUUCAGCUUUGGGAAUCCAAGAAAAAUAUCAAGGAAGACUUAUCUGUAUCUCAGAUCAGGAACAUUUUCAGUCUGUUUCUGUAUGUAUAUGUAAUGCAUGUCUACAAUCAUAAAUAUCAGGUGGAACAGCCAAUUUGUUCAUACAGAAUGUAUAAAUGGAACAGAAAGACAGGGAAGUAAAAUAGCAACUAUUUUAAAAACAGAAUAACUGUGCUAGGUCAAGUUAUUUCCAGAAUCACUACAAAUACUGCGGGUAACAUAGAAGAUUUCUAUUUCUAAGUCUUGCUCCUUUCUAAUCCUUAAAUUAACGAGCGUUGUCGAUACAAUUAUGCAGUGGGCUCUAGGCUGGCCUCCCCUCUGCUCAAAGUCAGAAACCAACCUAACCUCCAGCAUGCCGCGCUAACACAGUGCUUCGCUCAGCUCGCGUGUGGUGUGGUACUGAACAGCCAAACGGAGAGGAAAAUAUUUCCUUUGCGUUUACUGCCUACUCGUGUCAGAAGUGGUACGAAGGUGGUCGACAGCUCCGUUUUCUACCAACAGACAGCAGGCUUCACGCACUAAGGCAGAAGAGAUUAAUACCGCAUUAGUAACAUCUCGCUCACCGUUGUCACUGUAAAACGGCUUCAAACAUUCCUUACGCAGAGCAGACAAUGCAGGCAUGCUU